rnacentral:rRNA from 1 species
UACGUAGGUGGCAAGCGUUGUCCGGAAUUAUUGGGCGUAAAGCGCGCGCAGGUGGUCCUUUAAGUCUGAUGUGAAAGCCCACGGCUCAACCGUGGAGGGUCAUUGGAAACUGGGGGACUUGAGUACAGAAGAGAAGAGUGGAAUUCCCGGUGUAGUGGUGAAAUGCGUAGAUAUCGGGAGGAACACCAGUGGCGAAGGCGACUACCUGGCCUGUUCUUGACGCUGAGGCGCGAAAGCUAGGGGAGCAAACGGG